GAUGAACGCUGGCGGCGUGCCUAAUACAUGCAAGUCGUACGGAAAGGCCCUUCGGGGUACUCGAGUGGCGGACGGCUGAGUAACGCGUGGGAACGUGCCCCAAAGUGAGGGAUAACGCACCGAAAGGUGUGCUAAUACCGCAUAUGGUCUUCGGAUUAAAGCUUCGGCGCUUUGGGAGCGGCCCGCGUACGAUUAGAUAGUUGGUGAGGUAAUGGCUCACCAAGUCGACGAUCGUUAGCUGGUCUGAGAGGAUGAUCAGCCAGACUGGGACUGAGACACGGCCCAGACUCCUACGGGAGGCAGCAGUAAGGAAUCUUCCACAAUGGGGGCAACCCUGAUGGAGCAACGCCGCGUGCAGGAUGAAGGUUUUCGGAUCGUACACUGCUUUUAUAAGUGAAGAAUAUGACGGUAACUUAUGAAUAAGGAUCGGCUAACUACGUGCCAGCAGCCGCGGUAA
rnacentral:rRNA from 1 species